rnacentral:lncRNA from 1 species
AUGGAAUAGAUUUUAUAACUGAUAAGCAAGAACUAAAUGUAGAAGUUUCAAACAGCAAAAAGAAAAAUGCAAACUUAUUCAGAAAGACUAAAAAGCAAAAACGCAAACGGGAAAACAGCAUCCUCGACAUCAAUUGGCUUCACUUAUGCCUUGUGUGCUUUCUUCACCUUCCCAGUAGCUCCAUCAACCUUGCUACUUCCACCUUAACAGGCACUGUCUGAGUUGCCACCGUGGUUGUCAUCUCCAUUGUCAUUGUCACCCCCCCCUAAACAAACAAAAAAAAAGUCACAUAUAAGGCUUACGUUGUCAAUGAAUUCAGGGUGUGGAAAACGGUCACCCUCUCUGAGUAUGUGGGAGAUGGUAAAGAUCUGAUGAUUCUCUGUGAAUUUGUAUGAGCUCACACUCACCUGGAACAAAAGGAGGGGCCUCAGUCCUCCGGGUUGACACCAUCACCAGCAUGUGUAUAAUUGGUUGAAUGUGACUGAAUGAAUAAGUAGUCAACACAAAGAGUGGACGACAGUUUAUGAAGAUGAUACCAAGAGAUGGCCAGCCUCAUAGGCCCUCAUGUUAUGGAGCUUCGUCAUAACCCCAUCAAAGCAAACAAACAACUCUUCACCAGUCUCGUCUGCAACAGACAUCUCGACACGAUAUC